UCUAACUUCUGUAUGACCCUGAAUAUAUCCAGUCUUGGCAGAUUUCAGAAACUAAGCAGGAUUGGAUCUGGUUAGUACUCAAAGGGAAUCCUAUCAGGGACUACCAGGGAAUUCUAGGGAAGCUUAGGA
rnacentral:rRNA from 1 species